rnacentral:rRNA from 1 species
AGUCGAACGGCAGCACGGAGCUUGCUCUGGUGGCGAGUGGCGAACGGGUGAGUAAUAUAUCGGAACGUACCCUAGAGUGGGGGAUAACGUAGCGAAAGUUACGCUAAUACCGCAUACGAUCUAAGGAUGAAAGUGGGGGAUCGCAAGACCUCAUGCUCGUGGAGCGGCCGAUAUCUGAUUAGCUAGUUGGUAGGGUAAAAGCCUACCAAGGCAUCGAUCAGUAGCUGGUCUGAGAGGACGACCAGCCACACUGGAACUGAGACACGGUCCAGACUCCUACGGGAGGCAGCAGUGGGGAAUUUUGGACAAUGGGCGAAAGCCUGAUCCAGCAAUGCCGCGUGAGUGAAGAAGGCCUUCGGGUUGUAAAGCUCUUUUGUCAGGGAAGAAACGGUGAGAGCUAAUAUCUCUUGCUAAUGACGGUACCUGAAGAAUAAGCACCGGCUAACUACGUGCCAGCAGCCGCGGUAAUACGUAGGGUGCAAGCGUUAAUCGGAAUUACUGGGCGUAAAGCGUGCGCAGGCGGUUUUGUAAGUCUGAUGUGAAAUCCCCGGGCUCAACCUGGGAAUUGCAUUGGAGACUGCAAGGCUAGAAUCUGGCAGAGGGGGGUAGAAUUCCACGUGUAGCAGUGAAAUGCGUAGAUAUGUGGAGGAACACCGAUGGCGAAGGCAGCCCCCUGGGUCAAGAUUGACGCUCAUGCACGAAAGCGUGGGGAGCAAACAGGAUUAGAUACCCUGGUAGUCCACGCCCUAAACGAUGUCUACUAGUUGUCGGGUCUUAAUUGACUUGGUAACGCAGCUAACGCGUGAAGUAGACCGCCUGGGGGAGUACGGUCGCAAGAUUAAAACUCAAAGGAAUUGACGGGGACCCGCACAAGCGGUGGAUGAUGUGGAUUAAUUCGAUGCAACGCGAAAAACCUUACCUACCCUUGACAUGG